rnacentral:rRNA from 1 species
GGAAUAUUGGACAAUGGGCGCAAGCCUGAUCCAGCCAUGCCGCGUGUGUGAAGAAGGCCUUCGGGUUGUAAAGCACUUUCAGCGGGGAGGAAGGGGGUUGUGUUAAUAGCACAGCAUUUUGACGUUACCCGCAGAAGAAGCACCGGCCAACUUCGUGCCAGCAGCCGCGGUAAUACGAAGGGUGCAAGCGUUAAUCGGAAUUACUGGGCGGAAAGCGCGCGUAGGUGGUUGGUUAAGUUGGAUGUGAAAGCCCCGGGCUCAACCUGGGAACUGCAUCCAAAACUGGCCGGCUAGAGUACGGUAGAGGGUGGUGGAAUUUCCUGUGUAGCGGUGAAAUGCGUAGAUAUAGGAAGGAACACCAGUGGCGAAGGCGACCACCUGGACUGAUACUGACACUGAGGUGCGAAAGCGUGGGGAGCAAAC